CGUGCGCCAGACCCUGUUUUGGCCCGAUUUUUAUUUUCUGCGCGGGAACCAUACAUGCAGACGUUAUGCAGGGAAAGAUGACGACGCCGGUCAGUAAAUUGUUGGUCGAUUUGUUGCCUACCUCGAGGCCAGUCGGUGAAAUGAAGGCUUCCUUCUUCAAGAAAUAUGUUGCCAGUCGUUAGUCGGAUGCCACUCGUCUUCUAAACAUCGUACUUGAUGCAACCAGCGCAGUUGGAUGGACGGGAGGCGAGGAAUUUAUCGUUUUCGAUUUUCACCCUAUUCUGGGUUGCCAUUACAUUGCAGCUGGCAGCACCACGAGGGAAUUUUUUGCACAAGGGAGACUAGGUGAAUUCAACUCCUCAGAGAUAUCGCCAUGACAGGAUAUCACCAUGAUCAACAGGGUCAAACGCUUCCAGCGGACAACAGUGGAUCACCUCAUUUCUCCCACUGGAGUGGUCCUAGCUUGAAGUGAUGUAUGACUAUCAAUUCUAUUGACUAGCCUUGAGGCAUGUACCAAACGUCAGCAUGUCUGUGAUAUCAAUACAUCACACUUACAUUUGAAAGCUAUAUGAUGGAAGGCAGUCCAGUGGGCUUUUCGUCAAACACAACCCUACCAAUGAAAUGAAGGCAACGGGCAGAGACCACUAAUGGUAGGGCCACACAAGGUGGCUGUGCCAGUGGGGAAGACCCAGCUCAACAAGGUGUUAUUGCAAGUUUGUUCGGAACAGCACCCUGGUCCUAAUCCUCAAUAUCAGUGAAUCUUACUGGUCCAUGUGGCUGCUGCCUUGACUCGUGAUGCCUACGAUUGGAUGCAAGCUGCACGAAGUAUGUUGCAAAGAAGAGUACAAUGGAUCUUGAACUUAGCACGAGAAGCGUGCACUUCGUUGAUAACAGCAGAACCUUUGCAUGACUAUUGUAGUGUAAUGAGUAGCAUCAUGACAGAACUCUAUCCCUAGGCAUAUCAAUGUCUGUCUCCAGGUUUCUCCUUCCUACUCCCUACACUCACUCGCAUUGAUCUAACGUGUGUACUCGUAUAAGAACCGCAGCCUGCCUGCUGUACCAUUGACUCAUGCAUUCAUGUAUCGCUGCACUUGCUGGCUGCGCAUCACUAACCCUUCCCCUUCUAUGCCACAGUCCCCGCAUGCACUGAACGCAGUACAUGUACUCGGGUGCGCGUGCGUAUUCAUGUCUGAGUGCAUUGCCCUCGGGCUCCAUCUAUACAUGGCAUCCCGUACUGGGCACGCUGCUGCCGGUCGCUGCUGUGUGCACGCAGCACCGCCGUCCAUUCCGCUCUCGGUCUUCUUUACUCAGUGAUUCCCGAUUGGAACCGGCUCUUCGUUUCUGCUCUCCUCACAGCUAGUUGUGCUUUUCCGUGUCCGAUAAUGUUCCCCCUUUUGCAAUAAACAGUCAGGCGAAACUA